rnacentral:tRNA from 1 species
GGGGUCGUAGCCUAGCCUGGUAGGGCGACAGGCUCCAGACCUGUAGAUCGCCGGUUCAACUCCGGUCGGCCCCA